rnacentral:misc_RNA from 1 species
AUGACAGAUAGGUCAAGUAAUGGAGAUUAUCAGCAUGAUCGAGAGGAAUCCCCAGAAAAUAAUUCUAAUUUGUCGAUGAAAAAAGACCGAGAAGAAAAGGAUCAUCAAGUUGAUAAGGCCGGGGAAUAUGUAAGAGAACUUUUGCAAGAAAAAGUCGAAUUGGAUUCGCAAAAAUGGCCCAAUGCAACUCGCUUGAUUGAUCAAGAAAUACAAAAAACUCAAGCUAUUGGAAAGCCAUUAAGAGAUCCAAAAUAUGUAGAUAUUUAUCGUGAGAAACCAAUACGCAUUUCUGUUAAAGUCUUGGUUCCUGUUCGUGAACAUCCAAAGUUUAAUUUUGUCGGAAAACUAUUGGGACCAAAGGGAAAUUCUAUGAAACGUUUACAAGAAGAAACACUGUGCAAGAUGGCAGUUUUAGGAAGAGGGUCAAUGAAAGAUCGACAGAAGGAAGAAGAAUGUCGUAUGUCCUUGGAUCCAAAAUAUGCUCAUCUGUCGGAUGACUUACAUGUAGAAAUAACAGCAUUAGCACCACCAGCUGAAGCAUAUGCUCGUAUAGCAUUUGCACUUGCAGAGGUUCGCAAGUAUUUAAUUCCAGAUAAUAACGACAAUAUACGGCAAGAACAAAUGCGAGAAAUGGAACUUAGCAUGGCCGAUGAUUCAACAGUCGCAGAAGAUAGAAGACCUUCUAUUAGAGGUGUUCCUCCUGCAGCAAGUGGUAUUCUUAGACCUACUUCCAGGCCAACGCUGCCAAGAUCAUCAAGAGUUUCAGCGCCUGUUCUUCCUCCACCCUCUAAUCGUGGACCCAUCUCUCGACCAAUGCCUGCAAAGACUAAAAUUUUUUCAAUAUUAGACCGUGCACGAGCUGCCAUGGAUCAGAGUUAUGGCUAUGAGACUCCAACUCCGCCUUUAAAUAAUCGCGUAGGAACACAUGAUUAUGAAUAUCAUCCAUCUUCGACAACAAAUACUCGAUAUGCAGAUCGUCAUUAUACGUCGACUGCAAGUGACGACAUGUAUCCUACUUCGAGAUAUACUACCUAUGAAUACGAAGAAGAACCUGUGCCACAUACAUCACAUGAUUAUUACGAAAUGCCAGAGUAUCCAGGUGUAUGAGAAAAUUCGAAAUUUCGCGUGGGAACGCGUUCUUCUCGAUUGAAAUAUUUUUGAUCCUCCUGUGAUUCACGGAGCUGUAGGGUGUCCCGAUGAAACAAACAUCGGUGAGAGCGAGUCAAAAAGGAGAACGAGCAAAUAACCUGACCGACAAAUAUAUACCAAGCAAGUUUCCGUUUGACAACUUCACUGUAAUGAACGCGCAUCAUCAUCACACAGCGAUGAAAGUUAUUUCCAACGGGUUCGAUAUAAUCAGAAGGAAUAUGCGUCCAUUAACGCACUAAGAACCUGAAAGAACAGUCAUUUUUUUUGGUCGAACGUUAUUAUAACACGAUUUUCGAUAUUAUAGAUUAAUACGGAUUAAACUAAAAUAUAUUUAAAUAUAUAAGGACGAUGGUGUAAUGACUUUAAUUAAGAACUGGGCGUCAUGGUUAUUACGAUUUACCUGAUAAUUAAAAGAUAACUCAAUGAAAUCGUAAGCCUGUAAUAUUCGAACUUUUAAUUCGAUUAAUUUCAUUCAUUGUUUUAUCAAUUAAAACGAAUAAUAUUAA